rnacentral:rRNA from 1 species
UGGCGUAAACAAAGGGAAGCGACCACGUGAGUGUAAGCGAAUCCCAAAAAUAACGUCUCAGUUCGGAUUGCAGUCUGCAACUCGACUACAUGAAGCUGGAAUCGCUAGUAAUCGCGAAUCAGAAUGUCGCGGUGAAUACGUUCCCGGGUCUUGUACACACCGCCCGUCACACCAUGGGAGUCAGUAACGCCCGAAGCCGGCGACCCAACCAAACGGAGGGAGCCGUCGAAGGUGGGACCGAUAACUGGGGUGAAGUCGUAACAAGGUACC